UUAUCCAAUGAAUGCGCCUGUUCAAGGAUCUUUGUUUUGUUAAUAGCAUCAUUCGACGAUACAUAGAAAUAGCUACGCGAAUUAAUAUGGGCAAUAGUAAUUCAAAAUGUUUUGAGUAUGUAGCUGAAGUUUUCUUCAGAAUUUCAAAAGCCUCCACAUUUAGAUCGAUGAAUCUAUCAUUUGUCUGGCGAGAACGGGAUUCAGCGCACAUUCUCAGUCAGUCUUUUUUUAUGGUAUAGUGGGAAUCAGCAGUAGACUAUAGACUGCGAUAAAUAUUUCACCAACUCCCUCGCUAACUUCUCAUCCACUACGGCUGGAUCGUAAAUCACAAAUAUGCCGCAGUCGCUGAAGGCUGUAAAAAAGAUAAAAAAGAAUGACGUCAAAAGCUUGGGGUUUAUUCGAGGAAACUGAACAGCUAGAAAAAGGCAUUUAUGUAUUGGAUUAAGUCUCCUUUGUCGUGCUAUGUGUAUGCCAGGCUUAAGGCGAUCGGCGAAGCCCAAAAAUUCAAUCCUUCGCUAAACAAAAAUUACUGGAGCCAAACGGGGAAAAUAAAACAGAAGUCAGACAUUACGGAAGCAACAGUUGAGAGUUCGCGGGAACGGAGGUAAUCGACCGCAUGUGGCGCAAUGCGUCAAAUGCGAACGCCGUCUCAUCAUAACAGCAUGACUGCGGCUGCCGUCAACCGCGUGCGAUAGAUGGAUCACGCGGUAACAAUGUUUUUCUUUGCAUUUUGCCCAGUUAAAAAAGAUCAACUUAUCUAUACCACCAAAGUUUUGCUGCAAUAUACACUUAUGGAAUAAACGAUGUUUUCAUAUAUUGUCAUUGUAUUUCUUCAGCCAAGUGUCAGUGAGUGUGAAGCAUGUCGCGCAAUUUUCCCAGCCAAUGUUUUUGACCGUCUCGGCGCCUCAAAUAAACCAGAGGCCGUCGGUCACAAUUAUAGCCUACUCGGCAAUAGUCAAGCUGAACCGCACAAUCCUUAUUUAACUAUGCGACUGGAGAAGAGUCCCGUUAGUCACAGUGGCGUUCUGCAUCCAUAUAAAUAGCAACUCCUCUCAGCCAGCUCUUUGCAAGGUCUGACUAGACGUCCUCCCAGAUCCUUAUAUCUUGCUUGCCGGGCCACACGCGCAGACCCACUGAGCCCCAACUAAAUGAUUACGGAGACACGGACAUGGGAGAGUGAUGGUCUUCUGGUUGACAGUGGCAUCAGCAUUUUUAUCAGAUGCUAGAGAUGGCGUGAUAGACCAACUUUGUCAGUCAAUCACUAUGUAUGCGCACUCCAAUGCAAACACAAGUAGUGGGAGACGUUUACGUGCAUGGUAUACGUCCAGAUUUCA